GUAGCAAUACUUUGGUGGCGACCGGCGCACGGGUGAGUAACGCGUAUGCAACCUACCUAUCAGAGGGGAAUAACCCGGCGAAAGUCGGACUAAUACCGCAUAAAACAGGGACACCGCAUGGUGAUAUUUGUUAAAGAAAUUCGCUGAUAGAUGGGCAUGCGUUCCAUUAGGUAGUUGGUGAGGUAACGGCUCACCAAGCCGACGAUGGAUAGGGGAACUGAGAGGUUGGUCCCCCACACUGGUACUGAGACACGGACCAGACUCCUACGGGAGGCAGCAGUGAGGAAUAUUGGUCAAUGGGCGAGAGCCUGAACCAGCCAAGUCGCGUGAAGGAAGAAGGAUCUAUGGUUCGUAAACUUCUUUUGCAGGGGAAUAAAGUGCAGGACGUGUCCUGUUUUGUAUGUACCCUGAGAAUAAGGAUCGGCUAACUCCGUGCCAGCAGCCGCGGUAAUACGGAGGAUCCGAGCGUUAUCCGGAUUUAUUGGGUUUAAAGGGUGCGUAGGUGGUUUGAUAAGUCAGCGGUGAAAGUUUGCAGCUUAACUGUAAAAAUGCCGUUGAAACUGUCGGACUUGAGUGUAAAUGAGGUAGGCGGAAUGCGUGGUGUAGCGGUGAAAUGCUUAGAUAUCACGAAGAACUCCGAUUG
rnacentral:rRNA from 1 species